UCCUGGAAGCAGUGGCCAUGUCUCCCAUCUGGCUCCUAUGCGGAGCUGCAGCCAGGCGGCUCUGCACGCUGCCCUGUCCGCAGGUGCCGCCCCUGCAGCUCCCAUGGGCCGUAGUUCCCGGCCAAUGGGGGCUGUGCUUGGGGGGGGCGGGGGGGGGGCAGUGUGCAGAGCGAAGCCCCCUGGCUGCCCCUACGCAUAGAAGCCAGAGUGGGGCCGUGCUGCUGUUUCCGGGAGCCGCAUGGAGCAGCCCCUGACCCUGCUCCCCGGCUGGAGCACCGGAGUGGGGCAAGCCCCUGACCCUGCUCCCCGGCUGAAGCACCGGAGUGGGGCAAGCCCCUGACCCUGCUCCCCGGCUGAAGCACCGGAGUGGGGCAAACCCCUGACCCUGCUCCCCAGCAGAAGCUGGCGGGCUGUAGUUUACCCACCCCUGUGCUAGACCCUCCCCAUUCCUGAGAUCCCAAAGCGCGUCUCCCCUCACCCUGAUCUCUCCAUUAACGCAUCUCGGAGCUGAGAACGGGGCAGCGAGGGACCUCGAGUCCAGGCCCUGCUGUGCUAAGCAACUCCUUCCUCUAAUCGCCUUCGUAAAUUCAUCCCGCUCCAUCUCCAGACCGGCGAGGUGGUUUGUCCCCACUCCUGCUAGGGGAGGCUGCUCCGGGCCCUCGCGCCUUGGAGAGGGCUGGAAACCUUUUUGUCAUUUCCAGAUUGUUUAUUCAGGGCCGAUUUAUCCCCAUGUGGUCCCCUGUCGACAUUGUCUUUACACUUCAAAAGCUCUUCUCCCUUGCUGGUGUUCUACCCCGCAGCCGCACGUAGGGAGAGCAGUCGGCUCCCCUCAGCCUUCCUUCGGCUGGGCGAAGCAAGCCAAGCCUUUCCCGUCCCCCGGGGCUGUGCUUUCUUCCCUGUGUCUAGUCCCUGCUCCGGAGUGGAGCUCACCUCCCAGCUUGCUUUUCAAGCCGCACGUGUUCCAGGAGCAGCGCGUCUCCCGUGGCGUGGCUGGGUUGGAAGGGUCUCCUCUGGGAGGCCAGCAAGGGGCGUGACUUUGGGACAAGAGCCCAGUUCGAAGGUGGGCGCUGGCCUCUCCACGGGUCAGGAACGGCGGGAUUCAGGUGGGACAGGGUAACAAGGUGUUGCAGCGAAUGAGCAAUGCUCUACGCCGACUCGCUGAGUGGACACAGCAGCCCCUGCCUCUGCGCUGGGCUGGGUGGAGCAGGGGCCUCUCUACCUGCUACCCCAGCACCCUUGUGGCUCAAGCCCUGGAGCUUUCCUGGUCCUAUAUACGUACCUGGCUCCAUGGGAUCAGGGCCCUGAGCCUGCCUAGGCCGGUGUUCCCCUGCGUACGCAACCCCUGCUGCAUGAGACCAGGCCAAUGGGUCCUUCUCGCCCCGUGUCCCCCCGCCCCCCAGGCUGCCAUUUAAAUAGAACGGGGGAGACGGUCCUCCCCAUGCUUCCCACCAAGGCAUGCCGGGCUGUUCUUGGCCCGUCCCAAGAGGCGGAGGGGCGAGGAGCCAGCUGCCGAGAUGCUGCUCGCUGUUCCUGGCAUCAGCAGCCAAGCCUGGCAGUGCUGACAGGAGGCCCCAGGCCAAGCAGGGAGCUGUGGGGAAGGGGUGCCUGCCCCGUGGGCUCCUGCCUGUGAUGGCAACUCCUUCCCUGGGGCCUAAACUCCCUCCCCCACAACACGGGGUCCAGCCCUGGGGGGUGUAUGUGUCAGCACUGGGUGCUCACACUGCGGGACUGGGAGCACCCUGAGGUGUCGAGUAGAGAUCAGUGCCCAGCCUUGGCCGUGGGUCCACCCUUCCCAUGCUCCCCAGAGGGCCAAGGCCGAGAAACUUGGCUGUUGGCGCGAAUGCUGAGCUUGUCUGUUCCAGUUCUGGAUUCUCCCAAGUGCGGGGGGCCCUGGGGCUAUCUGCUUUCCCAGCUCACCGGCCAGCCUAGCCAACAGUAUGGAUCCUUGAGCGCCUCCUUGCUUCCCCUCCUCCCGGGUGACCGCACCGCACCCCCCCAGCGCCCGGUCAGGGCAAGCUGGCACCAUCCCUUUCCUCCUCCACGGCGGCACCCACCAAAACGCUGUCCUGGGCUGGUCAUUUCGCUGCAGUGCCCCUCUAGGACACGUUAAAAUCGAGGCAAUUGUCUGAGAAAUGUUCCCAAAGGACAAUGUUUACAUUUUAUCCUUGAACCCAAGAGCAGCCAGGGAACUAAGCGGCCCUCGGACGUCCUGCCGAAAGUUGCCUCCACUCACUGAAAUCCGAAAUAAGAACAGCUGUUCUGGGUCGGAGCAAUGGUCCAAUGGCCCAGUGUCCUGUCUUCCGACAGCGGCCAGUGCCAGGGGCCCCAGCGGGAACGACCAGAACCGGGCAGUUCUGGGUGAUCCAGGGUGAUCCCUCUUGUCCCGUCCCAGCGUCUGGCAGCUGGAGGUUUAGGGACACCCAGGCCAUGGGGUUGCAUUCCUGGCUCAUUGCCAUUGAUGGACCUGGCCUCCAGGAACUUAAUGUAAUUAUGUUUUGACCCCAGGUAUAUUUUUGGCCUUCACAACGUCCCCUGGUAACCAGUUCCCCAGGCUGAGGGUGCGCUGUGAGAAGAAGAACUUCCUUCUGCUUGUUUUACACCUGCUGCUGUUCGUUUCCUUGGGCGCCCCGGUUCUGACUCCUAGGCUUGUGGCGCCCCAAGGUCCCAGGGGCUGAGUCCUGGCUCUGCAUUAGCUGCAACCGUCCCAGAGAGACCCCGAGCCUUGGUCCCUAUGUAGGAAGAGGGGGGCAGCGGCAAUCUUACCCAGAGGUGUAUUUCCAAGGGGAACUCCAGCUCCCUGUGCAAAGGUGAUGCAGGAGGAAGGUAGCAGAUGACGGAGGCCCAUCCUUCCAUGGGAACCCUGCCCUGUACAAAGGGGUGUAGAGGACAACAGGGACCAUGAGAUCAUCUCAUUUGCCCUCUGGUAAAAACAGAGGCCCUGGUGGUCUCCCCUGGUGAGUCCAGUGUCUCGCCCGAUCACUCGCGAUUGAGCGAAUCUUUUGGGAAGAGCCAGCCAAUCUCGAUGCAGACUGGGAUUUCCAAAGGGGCAGCUGGAUGUUGUGUGCCUAACAGAGCCACUCAGAAUGGUCUCAUCCAAUCAGUUUAGGAUGAAAAAAUGCCAUUUUUUGGCAAAGUCAAAAAGUUGGGGGAAACGUCGAGCGGGAUGAGUCCGAGCAUUUCGACCGUGUCGAAUCCACCCAUUGUGGAAUGGGGCAUUUGGAGUUUUUGUUUUUAUAUAUAUAUUAAAAAAUUAUAACAUGUUUUAAUAGGUCAAAAUCAGAACAAAAUAUCUUGGUGGUAUCAAAGGGAGAUGUUUGGAUUCAUCCAGAAUGACCUUUUUUUUUUUUUUUUUCCCCGAAUUUCAUUUUGUGAGAAAUUUUUAAAAAAUUGGUUGGUUUCAGGCUGGGGAAGAAGUUCAAACUCACAGAAUUCCCUAUGCAAUGGAAACUCCAGCUUCCGAGCCCAACUCCCCUCGGGUUCUUUGGAAUCCUAGCCUUAAUGACCCCAACUGAGAGAGAAUCCACCACAUUCCCGGGGGCUUUGCUCCGGUGUUUACUUACCCAUGACGUUAGCAAUCUGCCCCUUAGUGUCUAGCUCCACUUUCCAGCCAUAGGAUCCCAUUUUGCAUUUGUGUGCCAGGUUAGAGAGCCCUGUGCUAUCGGAAAUCUCCCUGUUCACCUCUUCACCUUCCCUGUGAUCAACUCAGUUGAUUGAGCGGUGGGACUCUCUCAUUGGAAGUUAUUGUUUCACGUGGGUUCAAUUUCCAGCUGCGCUCAGACUCCCUGGGUGACCCUCCCCCCACCAACUCGUCACUUAAUAGCUCUGUGCCUCGGUUUCCCACCUGUGAUGAGGGUGUCAUGAUCCUUCCCGGCCUCACAGGUCAUGAGCAUGAAUGAUAGGUAGGGCCGCUCCAAAUUCACGGCCAUGAAAAACCAUGAAAUCUGGUCGUUUGUCUGCUUUUACCCCCUACUAUACAGAGUUCGCGGGAGAGACCAGCAUUUCUCCAAUUGGUGGUUCUGGCCCAAAAAGGAGUUGCGGGGGGGUCACCAGGUUAUUCCAGGGAGGCUGCAGUAUUGCCACCCUGCUUUCUGCACUGUUGCCUUCAGAGCUGGCUGGCCGGAGCGCGGCGGCUGCUGGCCAAGGGCCCGGCACCGAAGGCGGGGCCCGGCCAGCAGCAGCGCAGAAGUGCGAGUGACAGUCCCACCCCAGGCCACCCUACUCUUCCCUGCCGCUGGCGGCGGCUCUGCCUUCAGAGCUGGCUGGCCGGAGUGCGGCGGCUGCUGGCCAAGGGCCCGGCACCGAAGGCGGGGCCCGGCCAGCAGCAGCGCAGAAGUGCGAGUGACAGUCCCACCCCAGGCCACCCUACUCUUCCCUGCCGCUGGCGGCGGCUCUGCCUUCAGAGCUGGCUGGCCGGAGUGCGGCGGCUGCUGGCCAAGGGCCCGGCACCGAAGGCGGGGCCCGGCCAGCAGCAGCGCAGAAGUGCGAGUGACAGUCCCACCCCAGGCCACCCUAC